UACGGAGGGUGCGAGCGUUGUCCGGAAUCAUUGGGCGUAAAGAGCGUGUAGGCGGUUCGGUAAGUCGGCUGUGAAAGUCCAGGGCUCAACCCUGGGAUGCCGGUCGAUACUGCCGGACUAGAGUUCGGAAGAGGCGAGUGGAAUUCCCGGUGUAGCGGUGAAAUGCGCAGAUAUCGGGAGGAACACCUAUGGCGAAGGCAGCUCGCUGGGACGUUACUGACGCUGAGACGCGAAAGCGUGGGGAGCAAACAGG
rnacentral:rRNA from 1 species